rnacentral:tRNA from 1 species
GGAGAGGUGGCCGAGAGGCUUAAGGCGGCGGUUUGCUAAACCGUUAUACGGUUUAAUGUCGUAUCAAGGGUUCGAAUCCCUUUCUCUCCACCA